rnacentral:rRNA from 1 species
GACGAACGCUGGCGGCGUGCUUAACACAUGCCAGUCGAACGGAAAGGCCCUGCUUUUUUGGGGUUCUCGAUUGGCGAACGGGUGAGUAACACGUGUGUAACCUGCCCUUGACUUUGGUAUAACUUCAGGAAACUGGGGCUAAUACCGUAUAGGAUCUCCUGCUGCAUUGUGGGGGUUGGAAAGUUUCGGCGGUUGGGGAUGGACUCGCGGCUUAUCAGCUUGUUGGUUGGGUAGUGGCUUACCCAGGCUUUGACGGGUAGCCGACCUGUGAGGGUGACCGGGGACAUUGGGACUGAGAGAGGGGCCAGACGGCAACGGGAGGCAGUGGUGGGGAAUAUUACACAAUGGGAGGAAGCCUGAUACAGAAACGCCGCGGGCGGAAUGACGGCCUUCGGGUUGUAAAAAGCUGUAGCCUGUGACGAAGCGUGAGUGACGGUAAUGGGUAAAGAAGCACCGGCUAACUACGUG